rnacentral:rRNA from 1 species
UACGGAGGGGGCUAGCGUUGUUCGGAAUUACUGGGCGUAAAGCGCACGUAGGCGGCUUGUUAAGUCGGGUGUGAAAUCCCUGGGCUCAACCUAGGACGUGCACCUGAAACUGGCGAGCUUGAGUCUCGGAGAGGUUGGUGGAAUUCCCAGUGUAGAGGUGAAAUUCGUAGAUAUUGGGAGGAACACCGGUGGCGAAGGCGGCCAACUGGACGAGGACUGACGCUGAGGUGCGAAAGCGUGGGGAUCAAACAGG